CUGCGAUCGUUUUAAGGGCAGCGGGGCAGCGUUUGUCACCUUCCGUGCCUGCCGAAGUUUCCUACUCAGCUACGAAGGUACCAGGAUGCCUAGACUGCGGGAGAAGCCGCACGCGCGAAAAAGAGCGUCGCUGGAAACAAAGACGAUAUUCGAGGACUUGGGAUCUCGCACCGGCAGCCAGCAGUCAACAGCUCGAGAAUUCGCAAGUCUAGAACUGUGCAGUGGCGCGUAUACCCCGCACGCAUGCAUUAACAUGUGCGGUCGGGCUGUCCCUGCAAACAUUUGUACGCCUUGUGAUGCUGGUCGCUGCACCGAGGCGACAUCGGAAGUUCAGGACGGUGGUUGUGACACUACGCGCACUAAGGACAAUGUGCCUUGCUUCUCUGAUGGAUAUACUCUACGUGACGCUUCGGAUGGUUCACUUCGCUGUGAGAACGGAACAGGAUCCCUUAGGAGAGGUGUACGCACAAGUCAAUGCGGGUUUUCUGGUAAGCAGGACCCCGGAGUCAACAUUUGCUUUAGCUACCGCGGACUCUUCAUCGGCGCCCUUUGAUUCUCCUGGCAAAGAGCUUCUCCUGGCUAAUGCGCUCAUGAUCAGAGCUGUAGCCGUCAGUAGCGGCAAGAUCGCCUGCUGAUCUCUACGAAAAUAAAAAGCUCCUUUUAAAAAAGUGAAGAAUAUAUUAGUUGUUUUUAUCUACAAGUUUGUUUAAUAUCGUGAGAAUAUGGUCACUACGGCCACGGCGGGGACAUUGUAAACGAGAGUACGCAUUUGACGGCAAGUUGACUUACGAGAACGCACUACGUCGCGAAUAACAUUUAAGCUGCAAUACCAUUAAGCAUGUCCGUGUGGCACCCCACGAAUGACAUUAAAGCUUAAGGCAUUAGCCCACAAGCAAGAGAAAACCCCACAAGCAAGAGAAAACUCGAGGCAGCACGAAACAACUGCCUUCGCGUAUGUCUUGGCCUUCCGAAGGGGUCGUCCCGCUCAGGGACUGUAGCAGAAGCCGGAUGCCUGCCUCUGGAAGUGCUAUGUUCGCAGGAGACACUUCGGAUACACCUCCGCCACGUCAUUCAUACGAAGAAUCACUUUUUAAAGGAUAUUUCCAGAACCCGUGCUACAUCCAGCUUUGGGCAGGCCGUCGGAAGCAUAUCUAUUUCGAUUCCUGCUCAGGCGUCACAAAUUAUGCCGCGAAACAUUUCACCAUGGACACUGUCCCCACUGGAAAUCGUGCCAUACAUACCUGGAAUCAGUUCGAAAAAGAAAAUGCCUCAAGCAGCGACUUAUCAGAUAGCUUUAGAAUAUAUGCACAAAGAAUACGCAGCCGCAACGCACAUUUUCACAGAUGGCUCUACAACUCCACAUCGUUCAUCAUGCGGACUUUUUGUUCCCUCUACAGGACAACGAUUCUCGUUUCGUCUUGAGCGAGCGACAUCAUCUACUUCAGCGGAGCUCUAUGGCAUUAAGGAGGCCCUUGUGUAUAUACUUCGACAGCAGCCUACAAAGACAUGGGUGAUAUUCACAGACUCAAAAGCAGCCCUACAAAGUAUAUGGAACAGGCACAAGCGUUGCAAUAAUCAACCAGCAGCAUUUGACAUUGCUUAUCUUCACCACAGGGCUAAGAUUGCUGGGCAUUGCAUAAAGUUCCAGUGGAUACCUGGCCAUGCCGGCAUUUCGGGAAAUGAAAGAGCGGACGAAGCUGCCAGAAAUGGACUCCAAUACCGCAAAUUCAGAAGAACAUAUUUUACAAAAGCCGACGCUUCAACCAUGGCAAAAAAAUAUGCCUAUCAAGAAAAAGACCGCAUCUUGAAUCUGCCGCUUCACCAAGACAACUUCCUACGUUACAUUGACCCAGAAAUGAGACCGAAAAUUCCACGACCACUUCCUCGACACUUAGAGACAUUGUACCAUCGUCUUCGACUGAACGUGGCAUACACGAACAAUUAUCUGUACCGCAUAGGACUUACCACUAGCCCAUACUGUGAUAACUGUCGCAACUUAGAGACAAUUGAGCACGUAUUACUAGAAUGCCCCGCGUACCGCGACGAGAGACAAUUUUUUGAGCACCAAAUGGACAUGAUUUGCCCCGGACCGUUAACGUUACCGACCAUCUUAGGUCCAAUGCCCGGCCCUUCGAAACAGCGACGGGUUUUGGAUUUAUUGUUCAAAUACCUGACAGAAAUUGGUCAAAUAGGAAAGCUUUAAGAAUUGCAUCCUUCCUAUACAAAAGCCUAAAUUUACCCGCCAUGUCACCUGUAAAAAUUAGUAUCAGGUCCAGUCGGACAUUUCAUAUUUAUUUUUAUCCUUUUUUUUUUCUCCCACUCUUAUCUGGAAUCUUUUAAUCCCAUUCCCCAUCCCUAUACAGAGUAGCAUGCCAGCGGUUAUAUACGCGCCGGCAAAAUUCUCUGUUUUUCUAAUAAAGAGCCCUCUCUCUCUCUAAGGCAUUAGCCAGUUAAUGUCAUUUUUUGUGCCCGUGUCGCAGAGUGCUAGUGAAGUGAUGUAGUCAAGAUUAAUUCCUUCAUGUCAUUUCUGUUGCUUUCGCUGCUUAAUAAUGCUAAUUGAUGUAUUUUUGCUCUUUCUUUUUAUUCCAUGCUGCAAACUCAAAUGUCAAAGCAGGGUGGGCAAUAAGUAUUUUUGUUCUGCUAUUCUCUACCUUGUGUUGUGCUAUUGAAAUUGCAAGUUUUCUUCUUUAUCCGUGUAUUUAUUUGUUCUUUGAACAGUACGCAUAUAUCUGCUUAUUGGUCUUUUUAUGUAUAUGUAUAAGGUGACAAUAAACGUUUAAUUGUAUUUGGAA